GACGAACGCUGGCGGCGUGCCUAAUACAUGCAAGUAGAACGCUGAAGGAGGAGCUUGCUUCUCUGGAUGAGUUGCGCACGGGUGAGUAACGCGUAGGUAACCUGCCUGGUAGCGGGGGAUAACUCUUGGAAACGAUAGCUAAUACCGCAUAAGAGUAGAUGUUGCAUGACAUUUGCUUAAAAGGUGCAAUUUCAUCACUACCAGAUGGUCCUGCGUUGUAUUAUCUAGUUGGUGGGGUAACGGCUCACCAAGGCGACGAUACAUAGGCGGCCUGGGAGGGGGAACGGCCAAAAUGGGAAUGAGACAAGGGCCAGACCUCCAAGGGAGGGAGCAGGAGGGAAACCUUGGCAAUGGACGGAAGGCUGAACGAGGAAAGCCGGGGGAGGGAAGAAGGGUGUCGGGUCGUAAAGAUCUGUUGUAAGAGAAGAAAGAGUGUGGGAGUGGAAAGUUCGCGCUGUGACGGUAUCUUACCAGAAAGGGACGGCUAACUACGUG
rnacentral:rRNA from 1 species